GGCGGUCUUACUUGCAGUCGAACGGACCAUAUUUGAACCUACGUGAUUAUGAAGUUCGUGGCGGACGGGUGAAGUAACGCGUGGAUAACCUGCCGUCUACCGGGGGAUAACACUUAGAAAUAGGCGCUAAUACCGCAUAAGCGCACGGCUCCGCACGGGGCAGUGUGAAAAACUCCGGUGGUAUACGAUGGAUCCGCGUCUGAUUAGCUAGUUCGGCGGGGUAACGGCCCACCAAGGCAGCGAUCAGUAGCCGGCCUGAGAGGGUGGACGGCCACAUUGGGACUGAGACACGGCCCAAACUCCUACGGGAGGCAGCAGUGGGGAAUAUUGCACAAUGGGGGAAACCCUGAUGCAGCGACGCCGCGUGAGUGAAGAAGUAUCUCGGUACGUAAAGCUCUAUCAGCAGGGAAGAAAAUGACGGCACCUGACUAAGAAGCCCCGGCUAACUACGUGCCAGCAGCCGCGGUAAUACGUAGGGGGCAAGCGUUAUCCGGAUUUACUGGGUGUAAAGGGAGCGUAGACGGCAGCGCAAGUCUGGAGUGAAAUCCCGGGGCUUAACCCCGGAACUGCUUUGGAAACUGUGCGGCUGGAGUGCAGGAGGGGUAAGCGGAAUUCCUAGUGUAGCGGUGAAAUGCGUAGAUAUUAGGAGGAACACCGGUGGCGAAGGCGGCUUACUGGACUGUAACUGACGUUGAGGCUCGAAAGCGUGGGGAGCAAACAGGAUUAGAUACCCUGGUAGUCCACGCCGUA
rnacentral:rRNA from 1 species